rnacentral:rRNA from 1 species
ACGGCUCAGUAACACGUAGUCAACCUGCCCUGGAGCCGAGAAUAAUCUCGGGAAACUGAGGCUAAUGCUCGAUAGAUCAAGAUUCCUGGAAUGGGUUUUGGUCCAAACGGUGCAACAGCAUCUUGUUGUUAUCGCUCCAGGAUGGGACUGCGGCCGAUCAGGCUGUUGGUGGGGUAAAGGCCCACCAAACCAGUAACCGGUACGGGCUUUGAGAGAAGGAGCCCGGAGAUGGACACUGAGACAAGGGUCCAGGUCCUACGGGGCGCAGCAGGCGCGAAACCUUCGCAAUGCGCGCAAGCGCGACGAGGUUAUUCUGAGUGAUUUCCGCUGAGGAAAUCUUUUCCUAGAUCUAAAAAGUCUGGGGAAUAAGGGGAGGGCAAGUCUGGUGUCAGCCGCCGCGGUAAUACCAGCUCCUCGAGUGGUCAGGGCGUUUAUUGGGCCUAAAGCAUCCGUAGCCUGCUCAGUAGGUCUCCUGUUAAAUCCAACGACUCAAUCGUUGGUCUGCAGGAGAUACCGCUGGGCUAGGAGGCGGGAGAGGCGGACGGUACUCCGAGGGUAGGGGUAAAAUCCUUUGAUCCCCGGAAGACCACCAGUGGCGAAGGCGGUCCGCCAGAACGCGCUCGACGGUGAGGGAUGAAAGCUGGGGGAGCGAACCGGAUUAGAUACCCGGGUAGUCCCAGCUGUAAACGAUGCAAGCUAGGUGACACGACGCCUUCGGGGCAUCGUGGUGCCGCAGGGAAGCCGUUAAGCUUGCCGCCUGGGGAGUACGGACGCAAGUCUGAAACUUAAAGGAAUUGGCGGGGGAG